AUGCUCACUUUGGCAGCACAUAUACUAAAAUUGGAACAAUACAGAGAAGACUAGC
rnacentral:snRNA from 1 species